UGGGAAUGGAGAGGACUGUGGAGAUUCAGGAACCCUAGUGCGUCACUUCCAGCUUUUUCCUGAAAACAGAGGAGGAAACACAGCCUCAAUUAAGUGGGGACGAACAGCAAGUGAGGCGACCUGAAAUGAACGGCUGCACGUCUUCUGCUGGUGGGACUCUGGCUCUGCUCUGCCUGACUCAGCGCUUGACUUACGUUGUGUGCUGCCUCCCGCCCGGGAGUACGCGCGCCGGACAGACGUGGAGCUGAAGGGCUGAGAGGGUGCUUCCUUCGGCCGUCGUUUAGUCCGACCACUCGCUCUGUCCUGGACGCCACAUUUUCUGCCCUAUUCUUAUGGAACUUACAACCCAGUGGAGGAGACAGAUAUUAAAGAGACAAAACAAAAAUGUAGAUAAACAUCCUCACAAAACGAGAAGUGCCAUGCAGAUUCCAAAAACAAAGUGUGCGGAGGAAGGACACGGGGGCGACGCUUCCCAUCAGGGGAUGGAGAGGGAAGUGCUUGGAGGAAAUGACAUUUAUGCUGGACCCUGCGGGAACAGUAAGAGUGGGCCAAGUGGAGGAGGGGGGAAGGGAGAACAUUCCUAGAGAGGAAAAAGGGAGCAGGAGGAGACAGGAGGCUGACAGGUUUGAGAAGCUGGAAGAGCAGCAGGAAGGUGGUCAGGUGACACCUGUUUAAACGGCCAGACCAGUCAAAGGACACUGACAGCGGGGCAGAGAGCAACAGAAGAGGUGGGCAGAUGGCUCACAGACUCUCGUCAUUACAUGCCUGAGUUAGAGACUGAUCUAUGUGUAAUGUAUAUGUACCAUAUGUGUAAUGUCAUAUGUGUCUUAUGGUACUGAUUUUCAAUCAAGUGACUCCUUCAAAAGCGAGGCAAGAAGCACGUGACUGCCUCCUGCUAAUUAAUGCUGAGUGUUCUUUCACUAGUCACCAAACAGUUAUUGCACUUGGCUGGGUGUGUGACGGUGAACAGGAUGGACACCUCUCCUGCCCUCACGGGCCUGCAGUCUAAGGAACGUCAAGACGGACACGCAGGCAAACCCCUGGGACCUUUCGCAGCUCAGCAGUGGUGGAGGGGGCCAUUCCACAGAGGAAGCAGGGGAAGGGAGUGGUGAACGAAGGCCACAACUGUGUGGGUGAAGCUAUCGUGAAGACUGGACAGGAGCCCAGGGCUCUGUAGGCAAAGGCCACUCCCCAGCCGCGAGACCUGGACCGACAGCAGAAGACAGGACUCCAGCAAUGGUUCAGCUAUGUGAAAAGAGUAUGAAUAUACCAGAAGCUUCUCUAUGCCGUCCGAUGGAGAACAGCAGUCUCUUAAUGUGUCCUGACUCUGGAGAGUAUUGGCAUACAUUUGAACUAAACUCAAGAUUUUUUUCAAAAUAAGCCUUAAUCUUAAAAGAAAUUAUUCCAUAUUCAAAUUAAAACAAUUUUAAUAGAACUUUCCUUUCCAGAAACAAUUAUACACAAAGCAAGGCAUUUUGUAAACUGUGAUCCUGAGCUAGUUACAGUGCAAAAAUAAAUAUACGUGGAAUAUACUCCGCAAAACAGAAACUACUCUCUGUCUCUUGGGCUUGGAAGGAAGCUGAAGGACAACCGACUCAAAACUUUGGGCAGGGCUUUCCAAAACCAAAGCUAAGCCCAGGCAUUAAGGCUGCAUGCUUAACGUGUGGUGCUAGGAGAGAGCGACCAAAGAUGGGAAGCAUAGAUGAAUAUCAGUCUCCCAGAGUACUUUUCACCAUCACGAGGAGAGUCAUAAGGGUUAAAUAAACAACAAUCUGAAUAGAAGCCAUUUGUAUGAGAAUGACGAUGCACGGGAGGGGUGACUUCCAUUUCCCUUCUCUAAUCUGAGCUCCUGGGGGCAUACUUUGGUUUCUGGGACAAUUUCCAAACCCUGAAGUCACCAGACUAGACAUGGAGUGGGCACUGACCAGAGCAAUCCAUGGACUGUUCGCUGUUGGGAACUAGAGUGGACCAAUUUUGAGAAACAGAUCAGUCAGAAAUGGGGGAUGGGAGCAGAGGUAAGAGGAGGCACUGAGGCAGACAGAGGCCCUUGCAAACUGAAGAGGAAACAGAAAUUAUGAGUCAGCAGCAGAAGCUGGUAGUAAGCCUGGAGAGGAAAAUGGAACAGAUGCAGAGAGAAGAUGCUGAGACAAAUGACAUGCUCAUGAUUCUUGGAGACUUUCCCAUUCAUCCCAGCUCAAGUCCACAUGUGUGCUUAUUCCUACAAAAAUAAGUAAAAAGUAAACAAACAC